UACUACAUUUUUAUCUACGGUAAACUUUCAAAACGAGCAUUUGGAAGUCCCUUUCUGCUACUCAUAAUCUGUCCCUUACCCUUUAUGACCUGCAGAGGCUGUAUGAUGAAGGACUUUGCCGCUCUAACCAACGAAUCCAGAGUGGAAAACCGAAAAAUAAGGGGAAAGAUCAAAAAGUUGAAGACUCUUUUAUUGCUGUUUUCUGGCUGGUGUUUGAUUAUUUUCAAGUCAUUAUUAUGAGGAAGAAUAUGUUUGCAUGUUGGCACUUCAUCUGAGUUCUCUCAUUUCCCUCUGUGAACUCCUUGCCUCUGAUGAAGAACCAAACAGGAAUGGGAGCAGCUGCUCUUUAUGGAGGAGGGCUACAGAGCAGUCUGUAAGAUGGUUGGCAUCACCACUUGCUUGAAGGCACCUGACAUGGACUUUAAGCUCAAAAUGCAGUGCAUCAGCAUUAGGAACAAUAAACAUAAAUCAGGUAAGUUCAAAUUAAUAUUAUGGCAUCUUCUUGGUUAGACUAGAAAAUGAGUAGUGAAGAACUAUGCAUUAUAUCUUCUAUACGAUGGAAAUUCUGCACAUUUGCACUACUGAUAAUUUCACUUUGUCCUUAAUUCACUUGAUAACUCAGGCCUAUAGUGUGUUACUAUGGGUAGUUCUCUACAGACUAAGAACAAAAGAAUAAGUUCUGGCUGCGUGGAUUUUAGUUUGUACUUCUGCUGAGUUGAACAUGCCUUUUUACUUUUUUAGGCAGUUUCAGAAACACAGUAUUUGUAUGAUACUAUUCAACCAACCAUCUAUCCAUCCAUUCGCUUGCUGUAUAAAAGAAAUUCGGGCUAAGGCCAUCCUCAAGUCAGAGCUUUAAGUAUUUCUCAUCUGCACAUCAUUCUGCAGUUUGUAUAAACUUAAUUGUGUCUAGUUCAGUCCCAAUAAAUAAGGCUUAAAAUCCA
rnacentral:lncRNA from 1 species